GUGGAGCUCUAUGUGGAUGUUAUGUCUUCCAACACACCAUCAAAGAGCCCUGUAUACAACCACAAGCUCGCAUUUCUUGUCGACUUCACACACAAGAAACAUGCUCCAAAAAAGAUGAAUGGAUGGCAAGGUGGAGACUGUGAAGGUUGCUAACAAGUGUGCUCAGGGUUAUGCGGCUAGUGAGUGAGAUGCAGAACUCAAAUCAGCUGCCUGUCUGACAAGGGCAAGAUUCUGCUGCUGCUGCUGCCGCCCACACCCACCCGGCAGUUUAUACUGUGACCUGGCAGGUCUGCAGAAGACACGGGAGAGAAAAUAGCAAGGUUCCAGUUGAAAGGAAACUCAGAGUUUAUGGGGAUAGAUGUUUGAAAAACUGUAGCAGACCUCUGCAGCACAGUCAGGAAAUUAUGGGGGUACAAACAUUUUGGUUACACGUUAUGACUUUUCCACAUCCCAAUCAUGAUUUGAGAAGCACCCUUCUGCCCACAACACUAGCC